AUGAGGCCCACACUCAGUUUCUUGGGCUCCUGCUGUUCUUCCUUAAUUUUAAGAUGUGACAUCCAGAUAUACCAGGCUCCAUAAUUUUAUCUAAAGCUUUGGGGGAACAAAACAUAUGACUGUUUGCUGGUCAGCAUAGUACAAAAUCAUCAUCAGAAAAAUCUCCAAAAUUCUUGAUCUGUGGUUCAUCUAACUUGAAAGAUUCGGUCUCAUUGAGGUUCAAAGGCAGUGGCCAGAUUUCACCUUCAUCAUUAGAAGCCUGGUGUCUAAAGGUGUUUCACCUUGCCCUUCUUGCCACUAAUAGAGUUUUCUCCU